CUGUUGCACACUUAAUAGACUACAGUAUAGUGUAAGCAUAACUUCUGUAUUCACUGGGAAACCAAAAAAUGUGUGUGACUUGCUUUACUGCGGUCUGGAACCAGCCCUGCAGUGUCUCCAAGGAGAAAAUGGAAAAAACAGAGGUACUUUUAAUGGAACCGAAUAAACCACUGAACAGGCGUCUACGUAGGAGAAAGUUAAUGGCGCAGAAUGCUGCUGACCGCGUGGUUCUCGUCUUAAUACAUUUUCCAACCUUGAACCUGAGACUGCCAGAGGCUCAAGUCUCUGAAUGCUCGUCUGAGCCGUUAUCUGCUGGUGGCCUGGUUCCUGAGCUAACAAGUGGGUGUCCCAGGCGUGCGUGUGGUAAUAGCAGCAGUGGUGCCACGUGGCGCCCAGAGGUCGCCUUGGUCUGUCCUGGAGAUUCUUGGUCCUCGCUGAAGCUUCUGAGUUGAACUGUGAACUUGGGGCAUCCUGAGAAGCGCAGGCAUUUUGGAGUUCCACAGCAAACCUGGAUGUUAAGUGUCAACACAGCUUAUAAAGUGAAAGCAGGGGCCUUGAGGAAGGGAAUUACCCUCAUCUCGACCGGACCUGCUUACUGUGCUGGAAAACAA